rnacentral:lncRNA from 1 species
AUUAUUCAUUACACUGAAGUAUUAUUCAUUACACUGAAGUGAACUGUUCAGGCCUCUUCUGUCACAUCAGUUUAAAUAAGUACAACAAAGAUUUAUGACUUCAGCUGGGCGAAGUGGCUCAUGCCCGUAAUCCCAGCACUUUGGAAGGCUGAGGUGGGUGGAUGGCUUGAGCCCAGGAGUUUGAGACCAGUACUAGGCAACAUAGGUGGACCUCCGUCUUUACCAAAAAUUUAAAAAUUAACCAGGCAUAGUGGUGUGCACCUGUAGUUAGUCUCAGCUACUUGGGAGUCUGAGGUGGGAGGAUUGCCUGAGCCUGGGAGUUGAAGGCUGCAGUGAGCCAUGAUCCUGCCACUGCACUCCCAUCCUGGACAACAAAGCAAGACACUGUUGCAAAAAAAAAAAAAAAAAAAAAGAAAAGAAAAGAAAAAGAAAAAAGAAUUAUCAGCUCUUACUGUCCCUGAACAUUGGAGAUCAAGAGAUCAAUGACAUUCUAAAUGUUGGAAUUUACAGUCUUCCAGUCUCCUGGACCACAAUGUACAGUUAAUAGAUCUUUCCAAGCUUUAUGGUACUGAAUCCCUAAUUAGCAUUCCACUGAAGAGCUCUUAAGGAACUGAAAAGGAACUGCUGC